rnacentral:rRNA from 1 species
GAAAUGCGAUAAGUAAUGUGAAUUGCAGAAUUCAGUGAAUCAUCAAAUCUUUGAACGCACCUUGCGCUCCUUGGCAUUCUGAGGAGCAUGCCUGUUUGAGUGUCAUUAAUAUCUCAAGACCUGUCUGCUUUUGAUAGGUUUCGGAUUUAUGGGGGUUGCAGGCUGUUUCAAAUAGCUUGCUCUCCUUGAAUGUAUUAUUAGUGGAGGGAAGAAAAAGUCAUUAAACUCCAUUGGUGUGAUAAAAUGGUAUCAAUGCCAGGAGCAAUGAAGAACAGUUCUCUCAGCUAACUGUCUGUAGUAAAACAUGGACAACUUGACCAACUUGACCUCAAAUCAGGUAGGACUACCCGCUGAACUUAA